GGAAAGAUGCCGGAGUGGUCGAUCGGGACGGUCUCGAAAACCGUUGUACCCUUACGGGUACCCAGGGUUCGAAUCCCUGUCUUUCCGCCA
rnacentral:tRNA from 5 species